rnacentral:lncRNA from 1 species
CGGACAGAGUCUCCCCUGUACGUUCAAUGCAUCGCAAUCAAUACAAUUACAACAGGUUCCAAACAGGAACAGUAUUCAACAUACAACGAUUGCAUAAGGAAGGUAUCAAACAACAUAAACACAUCCUAAGUUAUUACAAGCAUUCACAUUCAUACUUUUUACAUCCCAAUUACUAUUCCUUUACAUCCCAAUGCAAUCUAAGUUAUUACAUCAUUUACUCAUUACAAUUUGAUACAUUGUGUUCUUUCCAUUUUCUAUACCCCUAAGCUAUGUCGACGGGAUACUGCUAGCUCUGGUCUCUGUGGUAGGGGGCUAACUACGGAGCUACGCCCUCGCCUCGCGCCACCGCGCCGCACUCGUGCAAACCUGUAACACCCCAAAAGCAACGUGGGGUGAGAACUAACUCCAUAGUUCCCAGUGGGUACGGCCACCCAAGGGAAAAGCUCGACCGACAUGUCCGAAGGAGGCAAGCUGCAGGUUAGUUCAAUAAACAGAUAGAUAUGAUAAUAAGAUCAUGCAACUAACAAUACCAUGCAUUGCCUCGCGAUAUGCAAUAUGAAGAUCAUGCAAUAAUGCAACUAUACAACCAACUAGUAAUUCAAUCGAUUACUACUUUCAUCCAAUUGACAUUUAAGGUUUUCUGUCAUGUACCAUUUUAAUCAUAAGGUUUCAUCUACCUUUACAAAGCUAGCCGCCCGACUCGGUCUUGAGUCAAUCAUCUGCGGAGUACCGCACAAAGCCAGGCACGAGGCGAAGGACAUCUCACUUGCACCUCGGCCUUAAAUCCCCUCAAGUAGGACAAUCACUAUAGCUCAUAAGCUUGUUACCCAAUCACUUGGCUAACCCGAAGGGGGUCGCCCUCAAUCUCACAUCUCAAAGUCUCAUAGGGGAGAAGUCUCACUGAACUGUCCCCCGAGACCGCCUGCGGACAGCACACAGACCGUCCAGACAGCACACUGACUGUCCCUCUAGUGACCAACCUCCGGAGUGCACAGCUUGUGGGGAGCGACCCCUCCAAGCGCAGACAGGCUAUGUGAGCACGAUCCAAUCUCUCAGAAUUGGGAGCACCCUAUCAACUAAGGAUAGUAUCAACAUAGAACCAAUAGGUUUCUAUACUCAUCAAUCUAGUGUCUCAGCUACACUAAGAUUCAUAUAUGCCACUCGUCAUAAUUCAAGUGUUCUCGAUGCAUUACUUUUACCCAAUCUCUAGGUUGUCAUUUACCUAGGUCUUAUCCACAUUUAUCAUCUCAUUGUAGGAAACCAAACAUAUCAUUAUAUUAAUACUACAUUGUAUUUCCAAUGUCAAGUUUUCUAAUCAUCCAAGAGUUUUAAACUCAAGUCAACAUGCAUAUGUUAAUUAGCAUAUGUUACCCAACAUAGUCCACAAAUACGUUAACAUGCAUAUGUUCCAAUUUGCAUAGAUCAUUUAGCACAACCAAUUAUAUGUCCUCUAGUAUAAUAUAUCCCAUGCAUUCCUACAACAUCAUUUCCAUGCAUUUCAUUAACAUUUAGUUCAUGCAUUCAUUUAACAUUCAACAUAUUACUUGCCACUAGCAUGCAUUAUAUUCAACAUUUAACAUCAUUGUCCACUAGCAUGCAUUUAACAUUUAACAUCAUUGUCCACUAGCAUGCAUUAUAUUCAUAUGCAAUUAUCAUGUAAUAUACAUUUCUCACAUUAUAUGCAUUUACCCAAUCUUCCCAUCAUAUGCAUCAUAUAGCAUUUAACCCAUUAUAUGCAUCAACUAGGAAAUCAUAUUUUUCUUCGACAUGAGGGCGACCUAGUCGCUUCGGUAAGCACAACCCACCUGUUAGUGCAUUCCGAUUGCUUGUCGACACUUGCAAUCGGCCUCCCGCGGCAUCCGGCACCCGGUUUGGCGUGAUCUCUCGCGCGACCACCUGAACGGCCUCGAAUUCACGAUCCGAAAAUUAAAGGUCUUCGGUUAUGUGCCACGAUACUUCAAAUCCGUUUUCAUGAGUAUACGACGUCGCCUCGGCCCUCCAGGCGAAAACGAAGCCUA